CAACCCUGGCAAUGGGCAGAGAGACGCCUUGGUGGUGCUGUUGCUCUUUCAUCAGUCAGGGGCAGAGCAGAUGGCAGGCCUUUGUUCAUCCUAGCUUGAUGCCUGGCAUGGUGGCCAAAGCUGUUUUAUGCCUAGGACUCAUUA